rnacentral:lncRNA from 1 species
UGCAAAGUUAAACUGUUAGGGCGCAACUGAGUAGUCUAACGUUGUUCUGGUUUUGGUUCUUGUGAACGUCGACAUCGAUUCGUUCCCAAUUUACACUCUCGGGGCAUAAUAAAAUAAUAUAAUUAGGUUAUACUAUUUGUUCGAUAGAAUGAGAAAAAGUACUCGUUGCAAAGUUAUACUGUUAGGACGCAAUUGAGUAGUCUAAUGUUGUUCCGGUUUUUGUUCUUGUGAACGUUGACAUCGAUUCAUUCCAAAUUUACACUCUCGGGGCAUAGUAGAACAAUAUAAUUAGCUUUUACUCUUUGUUCGAUAAAAUGAGAAAAAGUACCCCUUGCAAAGUUAUACUGUUAGGGCGCAACUCAGUAGUCUAAUGUUGUUCCGAUUUUUGUUCUUGUGAACAUUGACAUCGAUUCGUUCCAAAUUUACUCUUUCGGGGCAUAAUAGAACAAUAUAAUUAGGUUUAACUCUUUGUUCGAUAGAAUGAGAAAAAGUACUCGUUGCAAUGUUAUANNNNNNNNNNNNNNNNNNNNNNNNNGAUUUAAUGAGAAAAAGUACUCGUUGCAAAGUUAUACUGUUUAGGCGCAACUGAGUAUUGUAAUAUUGUUCCGGUUUUAGUUCUUGUGAACGUUGACAUCGAUUCGUUCCAAAUUUACACUAUCGGGGCAUAAUAGAGCAAUAUAAUUAGGUUUUACUCUUUGUUGGAUAGAAUGAGAAAAAGUACUCGUCGCAAGGUUAUACUGUUAGGGUGCAACUGAGUAGUCUAAUGUUGUUCCGGUUUUGGUUCUUGUAAAUGUUGACAUCGAUUCGUUCCAAAUUUAUACUCUCGGGGCAUAAUAGAACAAUAUAAAUAGGUUUUUCUCUUUUUUCGAUAGAAUGAGAAAAAAUACUCGUCGCAAAGUUAUACUGUUAGGGCGUAAUUGAGUAUUCUAAUGUUGUUCCGGUUUUGGUUCUUGCGAACGUUGACAACAAUUCAUUCCAAAUUUAUACUCUUGGGGCAUAAUAGAAUAAUAUAAUUAGGUUUUACUCUUUGUUCGAUAGAAUGAGAAAUCGUACUCGUCGCAAAGUUACACUGUUAGUUCGCAAUUGAGUAGUCUAAUGUUGUUCCGGUUUUUAUUCUUGUGAACGUUGACAUCGAUUCGUUCCAAAUAUACACUCUCUGGGCAUAAUAGGAGAAUAUAAUUAGGUUUUACGCUUUGUUCGAUAGAAAGAGAAAAAGUACUCGUUGCAAAGUUAUGCUGUUAGGGCGCAANNNNNNNNNNNNNNNNNNNNNNNNNCAUCGAUUCGUUCCAAAUUUAUACUCUCGGGGCAUAAUAGAACAAUAUAAAUAGGUUUUUCUCUUUUGUUCGAUAGAAUGAGAAAAAGUACUCGUCGCAAAGUUAUACUGUUAGGGCGUACCUGAGUAUUCUAGUGUUGUUCCGAUUUUUGUUCUUGUGAACGUUGACAUCGAUUCAUUCCAAAUUUACACUCUCGGGGCAUAAUAGAAUAAUAUAAUUAGGUUUUACUCUUUGUUCGAUCGAAUGAGAAAUAGUACUCGUCGCAAAGUUAUACUGUUAGUCCGCAAUUGAGUAGUCUAAUGUUGUUCCGGUUUUUGUUCUUGUGAAUGUUGACAUCAAUUCGUUCCAAAUUUACACUCUCUGGGCAUAAUAGAACAAUAUAAUUCGGUUUUACGCUUUGUUCGAUAGAAAGAGAAAAAGUACUCGUUGCAAAGUUAUACUGAUUGGGCGCAACUGAGUAUUGUAAUAUUGUUCCGGUUUUAGUUCUUGUGAACGUUGACAUCGAUUCGUUCCAAAUUUACACUCUCGGGGCAUAAUAAAAGAAUAUAAUUAG